rnacentral:rRNA from 1 species
UCUUUUAUUUCUGAAGUAGUAAAUUUUAAACUUAAGAAUUUGACAGUAUUUAAUUUUCAAAGGAAUAUGUAAUUUAAUCGACAAUUCACGUUAAAUCUUACUUGUUUUAUUUUUGUAUACCUCCGUUGUCAGAUUUUAUUAAAAAUAUUAUUAAUUUUCUUUAUAAAGAAUUUUAAAACAUCAGGUCAAGGUCCAAAAUAAAUAAGUUAUUAUGUAUUUCAAUCAUAUAUAUUGAAAUGGAUUAAUUAUGAAAGUAAUUUUGAAAUUGAAUUUGCAAGUAAUUUAUAUAUAGAAUAUAUAUUUGAAAAUAAUUAAAUAUGU